CCUACGGGGGGCUGCAGUAGGGAAUCUUUCACAAUGGGCGAAAGCCUGAUGGAGCAACGCCGCGUGCAGGAUGAAGGCCUUCGGGUUGUAAACUGCUUUUAUAAGCGAGACGUAUGAUGGUAACUUAUGAAUAAGGAUCGGCUAACUACGUGCCAGCAGCCGCGGUCAUACGUAGGAUCCGAGCAUUAUCCGGAGUGACUGGGUGUAAAGAGUUGCGUAGGUGGCAUAAUAAGUAGCUAGUGAAAUCUGGUGGCUCAACCAUUCAGACUAUUAGCUAAACUGUUAAGCUCGAGACCGUUAGGGGUAACUGGAAUUUCUAGUGUAGGAGUGAAAUCCGUAGAUAUUAGAAGGAACACCAAUAGCGUAGGCAGGUUGCUGGGACGGUUCUGACACUAAGGCACGAAAGCGUAGGGAGCAAACGGGAUUAGAUACCCCAGUAGUC
rnacentral:rRNA from 1 species